GGAGUCUGGACCGUGUCUCAGUUCCAAGUGUGGGGGACCUUCCUCUCAGAACCCCUACCAUCGUCGGUUUGGUGGGCCGUUACCCCGCCAACUGCCUAAUGGGACGCGAGCCAAUCCGAUAGCAAUAAAUCUAUUAAACAAGGAUCAUGCGGUCCCUGUUGUUACGGAGUAUUACGCGACGUUUCCAUCGACUAUCCUCCACUACCGGGCAUGUUGCUCACGCGUUACUCACCCUUUCGCCGGUCGCCGCCAGUGUAUUGCUACACCGCGCUGCCCCUCGACUUGCAUGUGUUAAGCCUGCCGCUAGCGUUCAUC
rnacentral:rRNA from 1 species